GAGACGUUAACUUAAGGUCCUGA
rnacentral:siRNA from 1 species